UUGUUGGGUAGGGGAGCGUUCUGUAAGCCUGUGAAGGUGUGCUGUGAGGCAUGCUGGAGGUAUCAGAAGUGCGAAUGCUGACAUAAGUAACGAUAAAGCGGGUGAAAAGCCCGCUCGCCGGAAGACCAAGGGUUCCUGUCCAACGUUAAUCGGGGCAGGGUGAGUCGACCCCUAAGGCGAGGCCGAAAGGCGUAGUCGAUGGGAAACAGGUUAAUAUUCCUGUACUUGGUGUUACUGCGAAGGGGGGACGGAGAAGGCUAUGUUGGCCGGGCGACGGUUGUCCCGGUUUAAGCGUGUAGGCUGGUUUUCCAGGCAAAUCCGGAAAAUCAAGGCUGAGGCGUGAUGACGAGGCACUACGGUGCUGAAGCAACAAAUGCCCUGCUUCCAGGAAAAGCCUCUAAGCAUCAGGUAACAUCAAAUCGUACCCCAAACCGACACAGGUGGUCAGGUAGAGAAUACCAAGGCGCUUGAGAGAACUCGGGUGAAGGAACUAGGCAAAAUGGUGCCGUAACUUCGGGAGAAGGCACGCUGAUAUGUAGGUGAAGUCCCUCGCGGAUGGAGCUGAAAUCAGUCGAAGAUACCAGCUGGCUGCAACUGUUUAUUAAAAACACAGCACUGUGCAAACACGAAAGUGGACGUAUACGGUGUGACGCCUGCCCGGUGCCGGAAGGUUAAUUGAUGGGGUUAGCCGCAAGGCGAAGCUCUUGAUCGAAGCCCCGGUAAACGGCGGCCGUAACUAUAACGGUCCUAAGGUAGCGAAAUUCCUUGUCGGGUAAGUUCCGACCUGCACGAAUGGCGUAAUGAUGGCCAGGCUGUCUCCACCCGAGACUCAGUGAAAUUGAACUCGCUGUGAAGAUGCAGUGUACCCGCGGCAAGACGGAAAGACCCCGUGAACCUUUACUAUAGCUUGACACUGAACAUUGAGCCUUGAUGUGUAGGAUAGGUGGGAGGCUUAGAAGUGUGGACGCCAGUCUGCAUGGAGCCGACCUUGAAAUACCACCCUUUAAUGUUUGAUGUUCUAACGUUGACCCGUAAUCCGGGUUGCGGACAGUGUCUGGUGGGUAGUUUGACUGGGGCGGUCUCCUCCUAAAGAGUAACGGAGGAGCACGAAGGUUGGCUAAUCCUGGUCGGACAUCAGGAGGUUAGUGCAAUGGCAUAAGCCAGCUUGACUGCGAGCGUGACGGCGCGAGCAGGUGCGAAAGCAGGUCAUAGUGAUCCGGUGGUUCUGAAUGGAAGGGCCAUCGCUCAACGGAUAAAAGGUACUCCGGGGAUAACAGGCUGAUACCGCCCAAGAGUUCAUAUCGACGGCGGUGUUUGGCACCUCGAUGUCGGCUCAUCACAUCCUGGGGCUGAAGUAGGUCCCAAGGGUAUGGCUGUUCGCCAUUUAAAGUGGUACGCGAGCUGGGUUUAGAACGUCGUGAGACAGUUCGGUCCCUAUCUGCCGUGGGCGCUGGAGAACUGAGGGGGGCUGCUCCUAGUACGAGAGGACCGGAGUGGACGCAUCACUGGUGUUCGGGUUGUCAUGCCAAUGGCACUGCCCGGUAGCUAAAUGCGGAAGAGAUAAGUGCUGAAAGCAUCUAAGCACGAAACUUGCCCCGAGAUGAGUUCU
rnacentral:rRNA from 1 species